rnacentral:rRNA from 1 species
UACGAAGGGGGCUAGCGUUGCUCGGAAUUACUGGGCGUAAAGCGCACGUAGGCGGUCUUUUAAGUCGGGGGUGAAAUCCUGGAGCUCAACUCCAGAACUGCCUUCGAUACUGGAAGACUCGAGUCCGGGAGAGGUGAGUGGAACUGCGAGUGUAGAGGUGAAAUUCGUAGAUAUUCGCAAGAACACCAGUGGCGAAGGCGGCUCACUGGCCCGGUACUGACGCUGAGGUGCGAAGGCGUGGGGAGCAAACAGG